rnacentral:rRNA from 1 species
UACAGAGGUCUCGAGCGUUAGGCGGAAUCACUGGGCUUAAAGCGUGUGUAGGUGGAUCGUUAAGUACCUUGUGAAAUCCCACGGCUUAACCGUGGAACUGCUUGGUAUACUGGCGGUCUUGAGCCAGCUAGGGGCUACCGGAACAAAUGGUGGAGCGGUGAAAUGCGUAGAUAUCAUUUGGAACGCCAAUGGUGAAAACAGGUAGCUGGGGCUGUGCUGACGCUGAGGCACGAAAGCGUGGGGGAGCAAACAGG